UACGUAGGCAGCGAGCGUUGUUCGGAGUUACUGGGCGUAAAGCGUGCGUAGGCGGUGUCUUAAGUUUGUUGUGAAAUCUCCCGGCUUAACCGGGAGGGUGCGGCGAAUACUGAGAUGCUGGAGUGCGGGAGAGGUAAGCGGAAUUUCCGGUGUAGCGGUGAAAUGCGUAGAUAUCGGAAGGAACACCUGUGGCGAAAGCGGCUCACUGGACCAUAACUGACGCUGAGGCGCGAAAGCUAGGGGAGCAAACGGG
rnacentral:rRNA from 1 species